UUUCCCUGGACAUGGGCAAAGAGACAGCUUGCUGGUGGUGUCGCUCUUUUAUCAGUCAGGGACAGAGCAGAUGGCUGUCCUUGGUUCAUGCUAGAUUGAUGCCCAGAUUGGAGGUCCAAGUGUCCUAUGCCUAGGAUUCUUAA